CAUUGCUUCCUGACACCUCAAAUUAGUAACCCAACUGCUCCACCGAUGGCUUCUAAGAUCACCAGUGCCAUGGUCAUGUAUGUAUUGAUUCUGGCACUCCUUGCAUAUUCAGAUGCAAGGCGUUGUACCCAACACCCAGCCAAGGUUCCAAAUUGCAUUGGUGGAAUUGACAAAAACUGUGUGAAAUGUUGCAAUGGCGAAGGCUACCGUUACGGAGUAUGUGCACCCACAUGCAAAUGCUCUCACUGCGGACCUGGAUCAUAUCUCGAUGAAAAUGCAAAAAUACAGUAAGACUUAAGUUUGUAACUAGCAUGGACCAAUAAGAGGAUCAAGUAUAUUACUAUUUCGACCCCGAUAAUGCCCAAACAUCUGGGAUUUGUCAUUUCCACACUAUUAUAUAUAUCCCUAUCAUUUUGAAAAAUUUCUAUAAA